GACAACAGAGGUUGACAGCGUUAGUUUAUUAGAGUUGUGAAGAAAUAUUUUAGAAAAACAAAGCAUAAUUUUUAUUUUGUUUCUACACAUAAAUAACAAUAAUAAUUAAACCAAAAUUGCUGGUUAUAAUUUUAACACUUUUCGGCUCGAAGGUUUAUUUUUCAAACCUAAUCUCUUUAACGAAUCCGUUGUUCUUAAACAAAUAUUAUCGAGUACAGGUUUUGCAGCUGUAGUUAUAAUAAAUCUGCAAACUGCAUCUCUGUGUUCAGUGCAGGAGAAUAUAGUGUUUUUAAGAAGGUGAGGAUGUAUCCAGUCAAUUAAUUUUUUGCAAAUAUUUUCCCCUUUCAGGCAAGGUACUAAAUUUUGAAUUGUUGAUGUUAAUUUAUAAAUAACGCCAACAAAACGCUCGUUAGGGCUUAUUAGUCCGCCUAGAUUUUGAUAAGUAAUUAAUUUUAAAAGCGGUCCUGGUGUUGUUGUGGAUAAAAAUUGUCUGCUACAUUCAUCACAAGCAAAUUUUUGUUCUACCUUCUUGAUAAUAUAUCCGGACAAAAAUGCAACAGAUGCAGACAUAAUAUUAUUUGCAGGUAUGAAAUAUUCACUCAAGUGGUAGAUUUCAUCUCUUAUAAUGAUGGUUGAAAUAGUAGAUCUACUAACAUAACCACUUUUUUCUGCUGGAUUUGACGAUGCAGAAACUUUUACAAUUCCGCAACGGAGAAUUUGCCGUAGUGCAUAUUCCGCUGCCCUGGCAUCUGUUUGAUCCUGCGAACCACCUCUCAAUCUGAUAUGGGAAAAUGUAGCUUCUAUAGCAUCAGAACUAAAUGAACGUGUCAACACGUAAUAAAAUCCUGCUUGGGUAAGCAAAAACUUGAUGCAUAAGUAAGUACUUUUAGAGGUGAACUGAAGUGCAUGGGCAGUCUCUUUACUAAGUCCCUUUAAACCAAUCCGCGCUGAACAGUUCUGGAUGUCUUCAAUAUAAUUUGGAAACGUGAUAUUUAACCAAUGGAGACGUUCAUCAUCAACAUUUAUAAACGGAGCAACGCUGCUGUCUAAAGAAUGAAUAUAAUGUUGUUUGUUUGAUACAUUAUGCACUUGAAAAAAAUUAUACAUCAUUUCCAUAAAGUUUACAGUGCUGGAGACUCCUGAGAAAUUACUGUCACCUGAAUCUUUUAAAAAUCUUAGUGAUGAAGUAACUGUAGGAUGAAAUACUUGAAUUGCUCUUAGUAUUUUACAGGUUUUACAGGCAUAUCCUUCUGUAAUUCAUAAAGUUGUUUGAGAUAACCUGACGAAAUCAUGCCUUCUGAAGAAAAUAAAUUAUGAUCUAAAAACAAAUUUCUGGUAUUUUUUAUGGCAUGACAGAAAUCAAAACUCAAGAAUAAUGGAAGUUGUUCUAAAAUAGGAUGAUUAAUGCAAUUUUUUAGAGAGUCAUCACCAAAUUUUUUGAACAGGGCAACAUUUAUUGAUGCGUUAUCUGUAACAAGUCUCAGAACAAUAAAUCCACAAUCUGUUACAAAUUGUAACACAUUCUUAGUCAGUGAAUAUAACUCAUCUGCCGUCAACGUAGAAUGGAAGAAGUAACCUGUAGGUUUUGAUGUGUCAAGACCAUAAAUUCUAUCUUCUGAUCGGCUAUAAUGUAGUUUUUCAGUGAUUGACAUGUCAUCUAGAAUUAAAGAGCAGACUCUUUCUAUUGGUUGAGAUAGUUGUGCUAUCUCUGUACAUAAACGUUUCUUAAUUAGUUCAUUUUGCCCCUGGUAAUCACCUAUGUACCUUGAAAUGGUGGCUUUGGAGGGUAGUUUAAUCAAAUUGUUAUGACAAAAUUUAUAGCCUUUAGGGCUGCAGAAUCUCCAUACUGUACACAUACGGACGGUAAUUUCUGACCAU